rnacentral:rRNA from 1 species
GGGGAAUAUUGGACAAUGGGGGCAACCCUGAUCCAGCAAUGCCGCGUGAGUGAUGAAGGCCUUAGGGUUGUAAAGCUCUUUUGCCAGGGAAGAUGAUGACUGUACCUGGAGAAUAAGCCCCGGCUAACUUCGUGCCAGCAGCCGCGGUAAUACGAAGGGGGCUAGCGUUGUUCGGAAUUACUGGGCGUAAAGGGCGCGUAGGCGGCCGUUUAAGUUAGGUGUGAAAGUCCUGGGCUCAACCUGGGGACUGCACUUAAUACUGGAUGGCUUGAAUUCGGGAGAGGAGAGCGGAAUUCCCAGUGUAGAGGUGAAAUUCGUAGAUAUUGGGAAGAACACCGGUGGCGAAGGCGGCUAUCUGGACCGACAUUGACGCUGAGGCGCGAAAGCGUGGGGAGCAAAC